CCUACGGGUGGCAGCAGUGAGGAAUAUUGGUCAAUGGGCGCGAGCCUGAACCAGCCAAGUAGCGUGAAGGAUGACUGCCCUACGGGUUGUAAACUUCUUUUAUAAAGGAACAAAGUGAGGCACGUGUGCCUUUUUGUAUGGACUUUAUGAAUAAGGAUCGGCUAAGUCCGUGCCAGCCGCCGCGGUAAUACAGAGGAUCCGAGCGUUGUCCGGAUUUAUUGGGUUUAAAGGACGUGUAAGUGGGUUGUUAAGUCAGUUGUGAAGGUUUGCGGCUCAACCGGAAAAUUGCAAUUGAUACUGGCAGUCUUGAGUACAGUUGAGGUAGGCGGAAUUCGUGGUGUAGCGGUGAAAUGCUUAGAUAUCACGAAGAACUCCGAUUGCGAAGGCAGCUUACUAAACUGCCACUGACAUUGAUGCUCGAAAGUGUGGGUAUCAAACAGGAUUAGAUACCCUUGUAGUC
rnacentral:rRNA from 1 species